rnacentral:rRNA from 1 species
AGCAGUCGCCGCGGGAAAACGUAGGUGGCAAGCGUUGUCCGGAAUUAUUGGGCGUAAAGCGCGCGCAGGUGGUUUAAUAAGUCUGAUGUGAAAGCCCACGGCUCAACCGUGGAGGGUCAUUGGAAACUGUUAAACUUGAGUGCAGGAGAGAAAAGUGGAAUUCCUAGUGUAGCGGUGAAAUGCGUAGAGAUUAGGAGGAACACCAGUGGCGAAGGCGGCUUUUUGGCCUGUAACUGACACUGAGGCGCGAAAGCGUGGGGAGCAAACAGGAUUAGAGACCCGCGUAGUCCCUGUCUCUUAUAC